rnacentral:rRNA from 1 species
GAUGAACGCUGGCGGCGUGCUUAACACAUGCAAGUCGAACGGAAAGGCUCCUGCUUGCAGGGGUACUCGAGUGGCGAACGGGUGAGUAACACGUGGGUGAUCUGCCCUGCACUUCGGGAUAAGCCUGGGAAACUGGGUCUAAUCCCGGAUAGGACGAUGGUUUGGAUGCCAUUGUGGAAAGUUUUUCGGUGUGGGAUGAGCUCGCGGCCUAUCAGCUUGUUGGUGGGGUAAUGGCCUACCAAGGCGUCGACGGGUAGCCGGCCUGAGAGGGUGUACGGCCACAUUGGGACUGAGAUACGGCCCAGACUCCUACGGGAGGCAGCAGUGGGGAAUAUUGCACAAUGGGCGCAAGCCUGAUGCAGCGACGCCGCGUGGGGGAUGACGGCCUUCGGGUUGUAAACUCCUUUCGCUAGGGACGAAGCGCAAGUGACGGUACCUGGAGAAGAAGCACCGGCUAACUACGUG